rnacentral:lncRNA from 1 species
AUCUUGCGGAUAAAUAAAUUGCAGUCCUGUAAUGUGUUUCGUGUUCCGGAUAUUUAUUGGGUCGGUUUCUGAAGAUAUGAAAAUAUUAAACCAACACACAAUAUUUUCCAAGGUAUAUCUGUAUAUUGAUAAAUACCUCGAAGGGUGCUAUAAAUCCAAACCCGAAGGUUGGCUACAAUGGCUACUACUACGUACACUCACAAACCCUAGCUUCUAAAUAUAUAUAUAUUACAAAACUAAGCUAUGAUUUAUUUGUGUGUAGUAGUGUGCAAGACACAAAGCCAUUCCUCCAUAAAGGUGGUGGAGAGUGUUACAAAUGAGAACAAAAUCCAUGGGUAUUUAUAGGCUUUUCAUAAACUAACCAUGGUUAAC